rnacentral:rRNA from 1 species
UACAGAGGCCUCGAGCGUUAGGCGGAAUCACUGGGCUUAAAGCGCGUGUAGGCGGGUCGUUAAGUACCUUGUGAAAUCCCACGGCUCAACCGGGGAACGGGCGCGGAUACGACCUUCCUCGAGGGACGUAGGGGGACCUGGAACUUCCGGUGGAGCGGUGAAAUGCGUUGAGGUCGGAAGGAACGCCCGUGGCGAAAGCGAGGUCCUGGACGUCUGCUGACGCUGAGACGCGAAAGCCAGGGGAGCGAACGGG